rnacentral:tRNA from 1 species
UGUCUAGGGAUGGGAAUCGAACCCACAGUGUUCCGCUUACCGGGCAGAUGCCAUGUCCACUAGGCUGACCCUGGAC